rnacentral:rRNA from 1 species
CCUACGAGAGGCCGCAGUGAGGAAUAUUGGUCAAUGGACGCAAGUCUGAACCAGCCAUGCCGCGUGCAGGAAGACGGCUCUAUGAGUUGUAAACUGCUUUUGUACGAGGGUAAACGCAGAUACGCGUAUCUGUCUGAAAGUAUCGUACGAAUAAGGAUCGGCUAACUCCGUGCCAGCAGCCGCGGUAAUACGGAGGAUUCAAGCGUUAUCCGGAUUUAUUGGGUUUAAAGGGUGCGUAGGCGGUCGGAUAAGUUAGAGGUGAAAUCCCGAGGCUCAACUUCGGAAUUGCCUCUGAUACUGGUCGGCUAGAGAGUAGUUGCGGUAGGCGGAAUGUAUGGUGUAGCGGUGAAAUGCUUAGAGAUCAUACAGAACACCGAUUGCGAAGGCAGCUUACCAAGCUACUUCUGACGUUGAGGCACGAAAGCGUGGGGAGCAAACAGGAUUAGAUACCCUUGUAGUC